rnacentral:rRNA from 1 species
AUGAACGCUAGCGGCAGGCCUAACACAUGCAAGUCGAGGGGCAGCACAGGUAGCAAUACUGGGUGGCGACCGGCGGAUGGGUGCGUAACGCGUAUGCAACCUACCAUUGAUUGGGGCAUAGCCCGAAGAAAUUCGGAUUAAUACUCCAUAAUAUUCAUUAAAGGCAUCCUUUAUGAAUUAAAGCUUUUGCGAUCAAUGAUGGGCAUGCGUGACAUUAGUUAGUUGGUGAGGUAACGGCUCACCAAAACGAUGAUGUCUAGGGGUUCUGAGAGGAUUAUCCCCCACACUGGUACUGAGACACGGACCAGACUCCUACGGGAGGCAGCAGUGAGGAAUAUUGGUCAAUGGACGCAAGUCUGAACCAGCCAUGCCGCGUGCAGGAUGACGGCCCUAUGGGUUGUAAACUGCUUUUCCACGGGAAGAACCCUCCGACGUGUCGGAGACUGACGGUACCGUGGGAAUAAGCAUCGGCUAACUCCGUG